rnacentral:rRNA from 1 species
GACGAACGCUGGCGGCGUGCUUAACACAUGCAAGUCGAGCGGUAAGGCUCCUUCGGGAGUACACGAGCGGCGCACGGGUGCGUAACACGUGAGUAAUCUGCCCUUCACUUCGGGAUAACCACCGGAAACGGUGGCUAAUACCGAAUACGACCAGUCUUCGCAUGAGGUGCUGGUGGAAAGUCUUUUCGGUGAAGGAUGUGCUCGCGGCCUAUCAGCUUGUUGGUGGGGUAAUGGCCUACCAAGGCUUCGACGGGUAGCCGGCCUGAGAGGGUGACCGGCCACACUGGGACUGAGACACGGCCCAGACUCCUACGGGAGGCAGCAGUGGGGAGUAUUGGACAAUGGGCGAAAGCCUGAUCCAGCAACGCCGCGUGAGGGAUGACGGCCUUCGGGUUGUAAACCUCUUUCAGUACCGACGAAGCGCCCUGUCGGGUGGUGACGGUAGGUACAGAAGAAGGACCGGCCAACUACGUG